GCAUCCAGCACCCCUGUUAUAGUAAAUCAGGCAUCUAUCUCUCCUGUUAUAGUAAAUCAGGCAUCUAUCUCUCCUGUUAUAAUAAAUCAGGCAUCCAGCACCCCUGUUAUAGUAAAUCAGGCAUCUAUCUCUCCUGUUAUAGUAAAUCAGGCAUCUAUCUCUCCUGGUAUAGUAAAUCAGGCAUCUAUCUCUCCUGUUGUAGUAAAUCGGGCAUCCAGCACCCCUGUUACAGUAAAUAAGGCAUCCACACCCCUGUUAUAGUAAAUAAGGCAUCCACACCCCUGUUAUAGUAAAUAAGGCAUCCACACCCCUGUUAUAGUAAAUAAGGCAUCCACACCCCUGUUAUAGUAAAUAAGGCAUCCACACCCCUGUUAUAGUAAAUAAGGCAUCCACACCCCUGUUAUAGUAAAUAAGGCAUCCACACUCCUGUUAUAGUAAAUAAGGCAUCCAGCACCCCUGUUAUAGUAAAUCAGGCAUCUAUCUCUCCUGUUAUAGUAAAUCAGGCAUCUAUCUCUCCUGUUAUAGUAAAUCAGGCAUCUAUCUCUCCUGUUAU
ensembl:lncRNA